rnacentral:rRNA from 1 species
UACGAAGGGGGCUAGCGUUGCUCGGAAUCACUGGGCGUAAAGCGCACGUAGGCGGCUUACUAAGUCAGGGGUGAAAUCCCGGGGCUCAACCUCGGAACUGCCUUUGAUACUGCAAGUCUCGAGUCCGAUAGAGGUGAGUGGAAUUCCUAGUGUAGAGGUGAAAUUCGUAGAUAUUAGGAAGAACACCAGUGGCGAAGGCGGCUCACUGGAUCGGUACUGACGCUGAGGUGCGAAAGCGUGGGGAGCAAACAGGG